rnacentral:rRNA from 1 species
UACGAAGGGGGCUAGCGUUGUUCGGAAUCACUGGGCGUAAAGCGCACGCAGGCGGAUCGAUAAGUCGGGGGUGAAAGCCCGGGGCUCAACCUCGGAACUGCCUUCGAUACUGUCGACCUAGAGGUCGGGAGAGGUUAGUGGAAUUCCUAGUGUAGAGGUGAAAUUCGUAGAUAUUGGGAAGAACACCAGUGGCGAAGGCGGCUAACUGGUCCGAUACUGACGCUGAGGUGCGAAAGCGUGGGGAGCAAACAGG